UCAGCAUCCGUGGCCUUCUUAUCCUGGAAUAUCCCUUUGCCAUGCUAUUCAAUUGUCCCAAUGAAAGCAUUGCUGAAAUGUCAUGUCAGUGCAAUUUGAUAACCUGAAACACCACAGGACCGAGGGACUGAAGCCAUAUUUUUUUUUCCUUCACUUUAAGUGAGAGUAUAUAUAUUACUGUAAUCCCUUGACUUCCAACCCAGAAAUGAGAAGUGCAAAGUGUCCUGGCGAAGAAACAACAGCUUGUGUAAAUUGUAAGUUGUUGUUGCUAUUCUUCCUUUCUUCUUGAAGAGGACCAAUAAUAUCAUGAAGGACACCUUAGAACCUAUCUGUGAUGGCUGUGCAACAGGACGUCAUGUCAGCCCAGGAGGAUACUCUCUUAACUUCCUUAGCCCUUCAUUCACUCCUGAAACUGAGUGAUUCAUUGCUAGCAAUUUAUGGAAAGACACAGAUGAAGAUGAAUAAGAAGAUCAAUUCAAAGAAGAAGAAGAAGAAG